rnacentral:lncRNA from 1 species
CUCUCCCUCCGCCAGCUCAACUCUCCUCUAGACCAGUCACAAAACACAUCGCGUCUCCCUCCCGCCAGCUCAACUCUCGUCUAGACCAGUUCACAAAACACUCCGCUCUCCCCCGCCAGCUCACCUUCCUCUAGACCAGUCACAAAACACUCUACUCCCCUCCAGCCCGCUCAACUAACUCUCCUCUAGACCAGUCACAAACACCACCGCUCUCCCUCCGCCAGCUCAACUCUCCCUAGACCAGUCACAAAACACCUCCACUCUCCCUCCGCCAUCAACUCUCCUCUCGACCAGUCACAAAACGACACCGCUCUCCCUCCGCCAGCUCAACUCUCCUCUAGACCAGUCACAAAACACCACCACUCUCCCUCCGCCAGCUCAACUCUCCUCUAGACCAGUCACAAAACACCCUCCCUCCUCCCUCCCCGCCAGCUAAACUCCCCUCGACAGUAACCAAACGACACCGCUCUCC